rnacentral:rRNA from 1 species
GACGAACGCUGGCGGCGUGCUUAACACAUGCAAGUCGUACGGUAAGGCCCUUUCGGGGGUACCCGAGUGGCGGACGGGUGCGUAACACGUGAGUAACCUGCCCACUACUCUGUGAUAACGCUAGGAAACUGGUGCUACUACUGCAUAUGUGCUCCUGCUGCAUGGUGGGGGUUGGAAAGCUCCGGCGGGUGUGGAUGGACUCGCGGCCUAUCGGCUUGUUGGGGGGGUAGUGGCCUACCAAGGCGGCGACGGGUAGCCGGCCUGAGAGGGUGACCGGCCACACUGAGACUGAGAGACGGCCCAGACGCCUACGGGUGGCAGCAGGGGGGAAUAUUGCACCAGGGGCGCAAGCCUGAUGCAGAAGCGCCGCGGGCGGGAAGGCGGCCUUCGGGUUGUAAACCGGUUUCAGCAGGGACGAAGCUUUUUGUGACGGUACCUGAAGAAGAAGCACCGGCUAACUACGUG